GGUGUCGAUGUUACUGGCCACGGAUUAAGAACCAUUCUGUAAAACAAACAGAGCAGAGUGAAAGACAUUAAGAAGAAAAAAGUAGAAGUCUUAAUCUCUGUUUUUUUUCAAGUCAGCAUGUGCUCUCCUGAGUUACAACCAACCUGCAUAUUACCUAUUCAAUCUCAAAUUUGCAGUGGGGAGACGAUCAUUGGGGGAGGAAGUUUAACAGACUGGAUAAUUUCUAGUUAUUUCAUUUACAUGAUACAUAAAUUUUACUGCUCAAUAUUUCAAAUAUUGGAAGUACAUUUCUCUUUUUACAUUACCAUGCAGUUAUCUCCAAAUGUACUGUAUUUUGACAUUCAUAUCACAGAAUGGGUUGGGUUGGAAGGGACCUUAAUGAUCAUCUAGUUCCAUCCCCUCUGCCGUCGGCAGGGACAUCUUCCACUAGACCAUGCUGCUCAAAGCCCUAUCCAGCCUGGUCUUGAGCACUUAUAGGGAUGGGGCAGCAACAGUUUCUGUAGGCAAUCCAUUCUAGUGUCUGACCACCCUCACAGUAAAGAAUUUCUUCCUAAUGUCUAAUUAAAUCUACCGUCUUUCAGCUUAAAGCCAUUCCCCAUGCCCUUGUAAAAAGCCCCUCACCAGUUUUCUUGUAGGCCUCCUUUAGGUACUGGAAGGCUGCUCUAAGGUCUCACAUGAACCUUCCCCUCUUCAGGCUGGACAACACAAACUGUCUCAGCCUGUCUCCAUAGGAGAGGUGCCCCAGCCCUGUGAUGAUCUUUGUGGCCCUUCUCUGGACUUGCUUAAGCAGGUCCACAUCCCUCUUGUAUUGGGGGCCCCAGAGCUGGACACAGUACUCCAGGUGGGGUCUCACAAGAGCAGAGUAGAGGGGGAGAAUCACGUCCCUCAACCUGAUGGACAUGCUCUUUUGAUGCAGCCCAGCAUAUGGUUGGCUUUCUGGGCUGCAAAUGCACAUAGCCAGGUUAUGUUGAGCUUCUCAUCAACCAACACUCCAAGCCCUUCUCCUCAGGGCAGCUGUCAGUCCAUUAUGCACCCAGCCUGUAUUUGUCCUGACACAGGUGCAGGACCUUACAUUUGGCUUUAUUGAACUUCAUGAGGUUUAUACUGGUCCACCUCUCAAGUGUGUCCAGGUCCCUCUGGAUGGCAUCCCUUCCCUCCAGUGUGUUGACUGCACCACACAACUUAGUGUCCUCAGCAAAUUUGCUGCGGAUGCACUAAAUCCCACUGUCCAUGUCACUGACAAAGAUGUUGAACAGCACCAAACCCGUCUUCAUUUGUGCACAUACUCUUGGUGCCACAUUUCAAAUAGCAAUAAUAGAUCCUGAAGGGUGAACUGAUUUUUUUUUGCUGGAUGUGAACUCCAAACUCACUAGCCAAAGAUGUUUGGUCUCCUUUACAUGCUGGCAGUGUUUUUUCAUCUAACAAUAUUUAGUCUGUAGCUUAGUAAGUCACUAACAAAUCAAAAUAUAAACAAAUAUAUUGAAUUAACAUUUACUUCUACAUUGCUUAUUUCUCAUGCUUUCUCAUUUGCACAGUUAUAGGGAAACAGCUUGAUCCUUGUGAAUGUGAACAGAAUAUUUUAAUUUUUACUAGAUAAAAACAUUUUAUAGUACAAAGAAUCUUUUAAAUAGUUUUAACUAAUACGCUUUUCCAACAACGACAUGUUCUUAAAGUAUUUGACAUUACAAAUCCAUAAACAAACAAAUCUGGUUUUAAACAGAUCAGAAAACUUGUUCUGAAUUACAUAAAAGUUGCUAUUUCUGGGUUCAUUGGUAUUCAUAGGAGAUUGAGGUUGUUUCUGAGGGAUAAAGGAAGGUGGAGGCUGCCUUUUUAUACAAUGUGACUGUAAUUUAGUUUCACAGACUAAUUUUGAUAAAAGAAGUGAAGGAGACUGAAAGGAAGGUGGAACUGAUAUAAUUUGGAAGACAGAAAAGUGGAGAAAAAAAAAUUUGAGGCAGAUUUGGUAGGUAAAAAGCAGAGGAGGGAGAGCCACUGAGUAAAACAUGGUUAAUUCUGCAAGAAUGACAUAUAUGUAUUGUAAUGUUUAAAAAGCCUCAUAUGUGAAUGAUCUAUUUCAGGAGGAGAGGGGAAUUCAUUUUAAGGUGCAGGGUAAUGCAAAAUAAAGUAGAUAAUGCACUAUAAUGCACACAUUUCCUGGUUUUCUGAGUUGCCACCUUCUGACUAAGCUUCAAAAAGAAAAUUACAGUAGUUUUCCUGUGAAGGCUUCAUUAUAUAUGACAAUAUAAGUCAUCAAAGAUUACAGUGACUGGAAUGAAAAUACAGACCGACAGUGGAGUUCUCCAGUGUACAGCAGAGCAAGUUUUGCAGCAGUCCUUAUCAAUCACUGAUACAUCUUGUAUGAGAGAUAAAAGAAGAAAAAAGAAACAGCUUCACCAAGUCAAAACAUCAAUAGUUUUAUCCUCUGAUUCUGAACCAAUUCCUACGGAGACAAGAUAACUUUUUCAAAGGACAAGAACCUUCCAACAUGCAGAAAAUCAAGCAAUCAUGUCACAAGGCCAGUGUGGAUGAAGAAGGAACACCUGGAUGAACUCAAAUGGGCCAAGGAAGCACAAAGAAGGCAGAAGCAGGAUCAGGCAACC